rnacentral:lncRNA from 1 species
AUGCUGCUCACCAUCGCCGGCACAGAAGCAAUAGAGGUCUUCAACACUUUUGUGUUUGCUCAACCCGAGGACAAAGAUAACUUUGAUGAAGUCAUGAAGAAAUUUGACGAGCACUGUCUGUCAAAGAAAAACGAAACGUACGAGAGAUACGUCUUUCGCUCACGCUUACAGCAUCAGGGUGAGUCAUUUGAUACUUUUCUCACAGACCUCAAGAUCAAAGCACAGUCCUGUAAUUUUGGUGAUCUCAGAGACUCUAUGAUACGAGAUCAAAUAGUGUUUGGAACUAAUGAGAAGAAGCUCCGAGAGAAACUGUUGAGAGAAACAGAACUAACGCUGGAAAGUGCUAUAAAGAUAAGUCAAGCCAGUGAGCUAGCACGACAACAUGUACUGACUUUUAGAGAGCCUGUUCAAGGAGCAGUGCAACAAGAAAAUGAGGCAGUGAAUGCAGUGUCGAUUAAAAGAAAGCCAUGGAGUAAAUUCAAAAACAACGACAACAAAAACAGAACGUGUGACAAUGAAAUGUUCACUUGCAAGAGAUGUGGAGAGAAACACAGACCAAAACAAUGUCCCGCAUAUGGAAAAAAAUGUGCAAAAUGUAAAGGACAAAACCAUUAUGCAAAAAUGUGUCUCUCCAAGCAAAAGGGACAAAAAGUACACACUGUGCAGGAAGACACAGAUGACAGCGAUGAUCUAAGUGAAACAUUUUUCAUUAAGAUGGUGUCAUACGAAGAAGAUGUCGAUGCUCAGUCUUCAAGAAUUAAUACUGGCCAAAGUGUUAGUUCAGUCACAGAUGAUAAAUGGACUGCUCCACUGUUAGUCAAUGGGACAUUGGUAACAUUUAAAAUUGACACAGGGGCCAAAGCUAACUUGAUCAACGAGAAGGAUUUCAAGGCACUGACUGAGAAGCCUAGAAGAUUUACAGAGAAAGUCACGCCGCUGAAGGCCUACAAUAACCAGCCAAUACAAACAAAAGGUGGAUGCAGACUUAAAGUGACAGCAAAAGGCAAACAGCAUAACAUUUUGUUCACCAUUGUGCCUGAUGGACACGAGUCACUUUUAGGAGAUAAAACAUCUGAGGACUUGGGACUAGUAAAGAGGAUCUACCAGAUUAAUACUGACGCCAUGAAAGAAACAAGGCAAAAGACUGGAACACCAAGGGCAUGA